rnacentral:rRNA from 1 species
GGGGCAGCGGGGUUGUAGCAAUACAACUGCCGGCGACCGGCGCACGGGUGAGUAACACGUAUGUAACCUGCCCUCUGCAGGGGGAUAAGCGGAAGAAAUUCCGUCUAAUACCGCAUAAUACAAUUUGGAGACAUCUCCGGGUUGUCAAAGGAGUGAUCCGGCAGAGGAUGGACAUGCGGCGCAUUAGCUAGUCGGCGGGGUAACGGCCCACCGAGGCUACGAUGCGUAGGGGUUCUGAGAGGAAGGUCCCCCACACUGGUACUGAGACACGGACCAGACUCCUACGGGAGGCAGCAGUGAGGAAUAUUGGUCAAUGGGCGGAAGCCUGAACCAGCCAAGUCGCGUGAGGGAAGACGGUCCUAUGGAUUGUAAACCUCUUUUGCAGGGGAGCAAGGCGCGGUACGUGUACCGCGAAGGAGAGUACCCUGAGAAAAAGCAUCGGCUAACUCCGUGCCAACAGCCGCGGUAAUACGGAGGAUGCGAGCGUUAUCCGGAUUUAUUGGGUUUAAAGGGUGCGCAGGCGGACUGUUAAGUCAGCGGUAAAAUGUCGGUGUUCAACACCGGCCGGCCGUUGAAACUGGCAGCCUUGAGUGAGCGAGAAGUAUGCGGAAUGCGUGGUGUAGCGGUGAAAUGCAUAGAUAUCUUGCAAAACUCCGAUUGCGAAGGCAGCAUACCGGCGCUCAACUGACGCUCAGGCACGAA